GCGGACGUGGCGGAACUGGCAUACGCGCUAGACUAAGGAUCUAGUGGGGGCAACCCCGUGGAGGUUCAAGUCCUCUCGUCCGCA
rnacentral:tRNA from 1 species